GAAUUAAAGGGUGCACGCCUGCGUCUUUAGUGUUCGGUAGGAAACCUGAGCACGUUGUUUAUCUGUGUUCAGCUUUAUUAUUCAUCAAAACUAUUAUAAACAAUAAAGAGUUUCCAUUUUCGACCUUUAUUAAACAAAACUGUUUGAUCCGCAACAUGGCAGAAGCUCAGCAGUAUGAGGAACAGUUUGUGCACCGUUUCUCGGCCCAGGAUGAAGAGUUUCAGCGAUAUUUACAGCAGCCUGAGGUGCAGCCGCCUGUAGUGGAGGGGUGGAGGAGCAGAGACACUCGAUUCCAGGACAGCAGACAUCACCGCGGAGACGGCAGCUGGGGUCAGAGGUCACAGGAUCAGCGAUAUGGCGGUCACCAGAACUCGUACAAUCAGAGACGUCAUUACAAUCGCUACUGAGUGUUGUGCGCGCGAUUGAGUGUGCGCGCGAUUGAGUGUGCGCGCGAUUGAGUGUGCGCGCGAUUGAGUGUGCGCGCGAUUGAGUGUGCGCGCGAUUGAGUGUGUGCGUGCGUGCGUGUGUGUGCGUGCGUGUGUGUGCGUGCGUGUGUGUGUGCGUGCGUGUGUGUGUGCGUGCGUGUGUGUGUGCGUGCGUGUGUGUGUGCGUGCGUGUGUGUGUGUGAUCCAUCAGGAAGCACCAUCAGGAAGCACCAUCAUGUUAUUUGACCGGCUUAAUCUGCAAAAAUCUGUACUGUAGAUAUUUAUGUAAAAAUGUUAAACUCAGCAAUAAACUGAUAAACUCUGA